AUUACUUAACCAAAACUCAUGAUAAUCUCGAUGAUAUGCUGCGUUUAUGAUAUAUAAUUAGUCUAUCAAAUCAUUGUGACAAGAAAGGAAGUGCAUCAAUCUUUGGAAGCUUGUAUUGGUAACUCUAAACAGUUUUCAGAUGGAUUCAUCAUCCUCACAGAACAAUGGAGCUGGCAAAGAACAUGAAGUUCAGUAUACUAAAAUAGGAAAAGGAAGGAAACAUAUACACCUACUUUGCUUGUAAUUAACGUGUAUAUGGUCUCUUCUUUCAUUGACCUACUAUACUUGUAAUGUUUAGAACCAUUGCAUAUGUUUCGCUCGUAUCGUACGUCUUGUGUUU